rnacentral:rRNA from 1 species
CGGUAACAGGGGUAGCUUGCUACCCGCUGACGAGCGGCGGACGGGUGAGUAAUGCAUGGGAAUCUGCCCGAUAGUGGGGGAUAACUCGGGGAAACCCGAGCUAAUACCGCAUACGUCCUACGGGAGAAAGCAGGGGAUCUUCGGACCUUGCGCUAUCGGAUGAGCCCAUGUCGGAUUAGCUUGUUGGUGAGGUAACGGCUCACCAAGGCUGCGAUCCGUAGCUGGUCUGAGAGGAUGAUCAGCCACACCGGGACUGAGACACGGCCCGGACUCCUACGGGAGGCAGCAGUGGGGAAUAUUGGACAAUGGGGGCAACCCUGAUCCAGCCAUGCCGCGUGUGUGAAGAAGGCCUUCGGGUUGUAAAGCACUUUCAGUGGGGAAGAAUGCCUUGUGGUUAAUACCCGCGAGGAAGGACAUCACCCACAGAAGAAGCACCGGCUAACUCCGUGCCAGCAGCCGCGGUAAUACGGAGGGUGCAAGCGUUAAUCGGAAUUACUGGGCGUAAAGGGCGCGUAGGCGGCUUGCCAAGCCGGAUGUGAAAGCCCCGGGCUCAACCCGGGAACGGCAUUCGGAACUGGCAGGCUAGAGUGCAGGAGAGGAAGGUGGAAUUCCCGGUGUAGCGGUGAAAUGCGUAGAGAUCGGGAGGAAUACCAGUGGCGAAGGCGGCCUUCUGGACUGACACUGACGCUGAGGCGCGAAAGCGUGGGUAGCAAACAGGAUUAGAUACCCUGGUAGUCCACGCCGUAAACGAUGUCGACCAGCCGUUGGACCCCUUGAGGGUUUGGUGGCGCAGUUAACGCAAUAAGUCGACCGCCUGGGGAGUACGGCCGCAAGGCUAAAACUCAAAUGAAUUUGACGGGGGCCCGCACAAGCGGUGGAGC